rnacentral:rRNA from 1 species
UUCAUCUCCGGGGGUAGAGCACUGUUUCGGCAAGGGGGUCAUCCCGACUUACCAACCCGAUGCAAACUGCGAAUACCGGAGAAUGUUAUCACGGGAGACACACGGCGGGUGCUAACGUCCGUCGUGAAGAGGGAAACAACCCAGACCGCCAGCUAAGGUCCCAAAGUCAUGGUUAAGUGGGAAACGAUGUGGGAAGGCCCAGACAGCCAGGAUGUUGGCUUAGAAGCAGCCAUCAUUUAAAGAAAGCGUAAUAGCUCACUGGUCGAGUCGGCCUGCGCGGAAGAUGUAACGGGGCUAAACCAUGCACCGAAGCUGCGGCAGCGACGCUGAUGCGUUGUUGGGUAGGGGAGCGUUCUGUAAGCCUGUGAAGGUGUGCUGUGAGGCAUGCUGGAGGUAUCAGAAGUGCGAAUGCUGACAUAAGUAACGAUAAAGCGGGUGAAAAGCCCGCUCGCCGGAAGACCAAGGGUUCCUGUCCAACGUUAAUCGGGGCAGGGUGAGUCGACCCCUAAGGCGAGGCCGAAAGGCGUAGUCGAUGGGAAACAGGUUAAUAUUCCUGUACUUGGUGUUACUGCGAAGGGGGGACGGAGAAGGCUAUGUUGGCCGGGCGACGGUUGUCCCGGUUUAAGCGUGUAGGCUGGUUUUCCAGGCAAAUCCGGAGAAUCAAGGCUGAGGCGUGAUGACGAGGCACUACGGUGCUGAAGCAACAAAUGCCCUGCUUCCAGGAAAAGCCUCUAAGCAUCAGGUAACAUCAAAUCGUACCCCAAACCGACACAGGUGGUCAGGUAGAGAAUACCAAGGCGCUUGAGAGAACUCGGGUGAAGGAACUAGGCAAAAUGGUGCCGUAACUUCGGGAGAAGGCACGCUGAUAUGUAGGUGAAGCGACUUGCUCGUGGAGCUGAAAUCAGUCGAAGAUACCAGCUGGCUGCAACUGUUUAUUAAAAACACAGCACUGUGCAAACACGAAAGUGGACGUAUACGGUGUGACGCCUGCCCGGUGCCGGAAGGUUAAUUGAUGGGGUCAGCGCAAGCGAAGCUCUUGAUCGAAGCCCCGGUAAACGGCGGCCGUAACUAUAACGGUCCUAAGGUAGCGAAAUUCCUUGUCGGGUAAGUUCCGACCUGCACGAAUGGCGUAAUGAUGGCCAGGCUGUCUCCACCCGAGACUCAGUGAAAUUGAACUCGCUGUGAAGAUGCAGUGUACCCGCGGCAAGACGGAAAGACCCCGUGAACCUUUACUAUAGCUUGACACUGAACACUGGUCCUUGAUGUGUAGGAUAGGUGGGAGGCUUUGAAGUGUGGACGCCAGUCUGCAUGGAGCCGUCCUUGAAAUACCACCCUUUAAUGGCUGGUGUUCUAACGUUGGCCCGUAAUCCGGGUUGCGGACAGUGUCUGGUGGGUAGUUUGACUGGGGCGGUCUCCUCCUAAAGAGUAACGGAGGAGCACGAAGGUUGGCUAAUCCUGGUCGGACAUCAGGAGGUUAGUGCAAUGGCAUAAGCCAGCUUGACUGCGAGCGUGACGGCGCGAGCAGGUGCGAAAGCAGGUCAUAGUGAUCCGGUGGUUCUGAAUGGAAGGGCCAUCGCUCAACGGAUAAAAGGUACUCCGGGGAUAACAGGCUGAUACCGCCCAAGAGUUCAUAUCGACGGCGGUGUUUGGCACCUCGAUGUCGGCUCAUCACAUCCUGGGGCUGAAGUAGGUCCCAAGGGUAUGGCUGUUCGCCAUUUAAAGUGGUACGCGAGCUGGGUUUAGAACGUCGUGAGACAGUUCGGUCCCUAUCUGCCGUGGGCGCUGGAGAACUGAGGGGGGCUGCUCCUAGUACGAGAGGACCGGAGUGGACGCAUCACUGGUGUUCGGGUUGUCAUGCCAAUGGCACUGCCCGGUAGCUAAAUGCGGAAGAGAUAAGUGCUGAAAGCAUCUAAGCACGAAACUUGCCCCGAGAUGAGUUCUCCCUGAGACUUUAAGUCUCCUGAAGGAACGUUGAAGACGACGACGUUGAUAGGCCGGGU